rnacentral:SRP_RNA from 1 species
CCUUGGUCCUCCCGCAAUAAAUUGUUGUGAACUCCGCCAGGCCCGGAAGGGAGCAACGGUAACAAUAAAUUUAUGUGCCGGGAUGUGGCUGAGGUGG